CCUACGGGAGGCAGCAGUGGGGAAUUUUCCGCAAUGGGCGAAAGCCUGACGGAGCAACGCCGCGUGAGGGAUGAAGGCCUCUGGGCUGUAAACCUCUUUUCUCAAGGAAGAAGAUCUGACGGUACUUGAGGAAUAAGCCACGGCUAAUUCCGUGCCAGCAGCCGCGGUAAUACGGGAGUGGCAAGCGUUAUCCGGAAUUAUUGGGCGUAAAGCGUCCGCAGGCGGUUCUGUAAGUCUGCCGUUAAAGCGUGGAGCUCAACUCCAUUUCGGCGGUGGAAAC
rnacentral:rRNA from 1 species